CACCCCCCUUCUCGUAGGGUUUCUCAAGCAGACGGCAUCGCACCGCCGCCGGCCACCCUCCUCUGCCCCCUCCCACCGCCUUCUGGACAUACCGCGCAUCCGCUCACUAGUCCCGGCUCUCCUUUACCGCGAAGCCGAAAGCCAUCGCCGCACCCCAACCACGAAGCCGGCGCCCGAUCCACUCGCUUCGACCUUGACAGCGCCGCGGGACACCGUCCAUCGACCCCGUCGCCCGUACCUUGACUGAGUCACCGGAAGCAGCCGCUCGACCCCUACCCCGUCGCCCCUACAACAAUGCCGUACGCCCUCCCUAUCGACCCUGACCCCGCUGCUUCACCCUAUCUCGACCUCGCAUCUGGACGUCGUCGCUCUACCUCGUGUUCUGUCUUCCAGUAGCGGCUUUGUCAAGAUGGUUGGUUGCUGAGAUGGUCUGUUGUGGGAAGGCGGUCGACGCCGGUGGCCAAGAAGGAAACAUCGAGUAGCUCCAAGGUCGGGCUACAGUUCCACGUUGGCAGGAUCGCCAGAUUCCUCAAGGCCGGCAAGUACGCCGAGCCGCUUAGGCGCUGGUGCCCCCAUCUACCUCGCCGCCGUUCCCCAAGUACCUCGCCGCUGAUGCCCUGGAGCUGGCUGGCAACGCUGCCAGUGCCAGGGACAACAAGAAGACCCAUAUCAUGCAUCGCCACAUCCAGCUCGCCGUGCGCAAUGGCGAGGAGCUAUAUAUCUCAUGUUGGUUGUAGGGAACACAAGACAGACAGGAGCUUUGGAGCAAGUCCGUCCAUGUCGGACCCUUUUCAUUUAUUUAUUUCACGAAUUCCUUUUCAUUUAUUCAUGAGCGUACUUAUGCUACUAUUCUUGUUUGAAAUUCCUUUUAUGUUUGCAUGACCGGAGCCAUGAGGAUUGCUACUCCGUAAGCAGCAGCGUUCUCCUAGAUGACAACUUGCCCGAAUGAGCUGAUGAUGGUUUCUUGGAAAUAUGUAGACCCAUAUGAUUUAUUAUUGGGACAGAUAGUGUAGGCAUAUUAGCCUAUGGCAUUGUUACUGCAGAUUCCAGUGUUCACAUUUUCCACCUUGAUUUCCUUUUCAUAUGGAUUUAGUAAGACCAUCACAUGGGUUGUUUGCAUUUGCCACCUUGAUUUCCUUCUUGUAUGGUUUUAAUAAGACCAUAACAUGGGUUAUUGGUCAGGAGGGGGCCAGCAUCCAGCAAGAUGUCGUGCUGCAAAAUGAAUGUGGGGUUUGUCUAGCUAAUCAGGUCGGUGUGGUGCAGUACCCUCUGCUGUUCAUAUCUUCUUUUUUUGUUGCAAUUCUGGUGUCCUGAUUCAGUUGCUUAGUUAUGAUAGAUUUCCAUUCACUUGGUCUAUAGAUAUCCAGAAACCUGUGAUGAAACAUGUUGCUUGAAUUGUCAACUCCAUCGCUGGCUAUAUAUUAGACUUA